UACGGAGGGGGCUAGCGUUGUUCGGAAUUACUGGGCGUAAAGCGCGCGUAGGCGGAUCUGCAAGUCGGGGGUGAAAUCCCGAGGCUCAACCUCGGAACUGCCUUCGAUACUGCGGGUCUCGAGUCCGGGAGAGGUGAGUGGAAUUCCUAGUGUAGAGGUGAAAUUCGUAGAUAUUAGGAAGAACACCAGUGGCGAAGGCGGCUCACGGGCCCGGUACUGACGCUGAGGCGCGAAAGCGUGGGGAGCAAACAGG
rnacentral:rRNA from 1 species